rnacentral:tRNA from 1 species
AGCAAGGUAAGCUAACUUAAGCUUUUAGGCCCAUACCCUAACGAUAAACAAUAGUUUCUUUGCUA